rnacentral:lncRNA from 1 species
AUGAGAUCACUACGGGAUGAGAUGAAAAACGGAUUUGGGCGACUGGAAGAGAAAGUGACAACCCUGAAUGAAGAAGUUAAAAAUCUGGAUGGCAGACUUGAAGUGGCGGAAAGUCGGAUGAGUACCUCGGAGGACCGCAACGCCGCCUCGGAGAGAUUGAUAUCUUUCCUCAUGCAAAGUAAUCAAUAUUUGCAAGAAAAAUGCCAAGAUUUGGAAAACCAAGAGCGACACAGCAAUUUGAGGAUUUACGGAGUACUGGAGGGCACGGAGGCUGGAGAUAUGCUGAAGUUUAUAGACCCGUUCAUUAAAGGUCUCAUAGAUUUACCACCCGAUCACAAUCUGGGGGUAGAAAGAGCCCACAGGUCACUCCAGAGGAAACCAACCAACCCGAUGGAUCCCCCGAGAUCAAUUGUUGUGAAAUUCUCAAGCUUUCAAAUUAAAGAAAGUGUUCUACAUGGGGCAUGGAAAAAAAAGAAACUGGAGUUCAAGGGGAAGAGGAUUUUUCUCGAUCAUGAUCACUCUAACUCUCUGCAGAACAAAAAGAGAGAAUAUAUCGAGAUUAAGAAACAAUUAAAACAGCAAGAAAUUCGAUUCCAAUCACGCUAUCCCAAUAAGCUUAAAGUUUUCCUGGAGACGGGAGCGGUGGUGUUCAACUCAGCCUGGGAAGCAGCAGACGGUUUGCGUGGUCAUGGGAUUCACUGCAAGGUGUCCGAAGCAGAACUUGGUCGGAAGGAACUGCAUCAACUGGGCUGGUCAGCUUGUUAUGUAGUGAAGAAGACAUGCCGGAGGGAGGACGUGAUAGUAGCGGCCCUCACAGCAUUUUUUCGCCUUCAAAGAGAACCAAAUCUGCAGUCUGGGCGUAUUGUGGUUGUAAUAAGAAUGCUCAGGACAGCUGGUCAAGGAUGGCAGCCCUAUCUGCAGGAGCUGCGAGAAGAAAGUUGUUGCCAGGGGCGGCAACACAUCCAAUUUACUUACUUUCACUUUACGACCAUCACCCGCAACUGUUCAGCAAAUGCAAGGUAA